rnacentral:rRNA from 1 species
AUUGAACGCUGGCGGCAGGCCUAAUACAUGCAAGUCGAGCGGAUGAAUGGAGCUUUCUCCUGGAUUCAGCUGCGGACGGGUGAGUAAUUCCUAGGAAUCUGCCUUGUAUUUGGGGAUAACGUCCGGAAACGGGCGCUAAUACCGCAUACGUCCUGAGGUAGAAAUUGGUGGAUCUUCGGACCUCACGCUAUCAGAUGAGCCUAGGUCGUAUUAGCUAGUUGGUGUGGUAAUGGCCUACCAAGGCGACGAUCCGUAACUGGUCUGAGAGGAUGAUCAGUCACACUGGAACUGAGACACGGUCCAGACUCCUACGGGAGGCAGCAGUGGGGAAUCUUCGACAAUGGGCGAAAGCCUGAUCCAGCCAUGCCGCGUGUGUGAAGAAGGUCUUCGGAUUGUAAAGCACUUUAAGUUGGGAGGAAGAGAAGUAAGUUAAUACAUUGAUGUUUUGACGUUACCAAAAGAAAAAGCACCGGCUAACUUCGUG